rnacentral:rRNA from 1 species
CAAGUCGAGCGGGCGUAGCAAUACGUCAGCGGCAGACGGGUGAGUAACACGUGGGAACGUACCUUUUGGUUCGGAACAACACAGGGAAACUUGUGCUAAUACCGGAUAAGCCCUUACGGGGAAAGAUUUAUCGCCGAAAGAUCGGCCCGCGUCUGAUUAGCUAGUUGGUGAGGUAACGGCUCACCAAGGCGACGAUCAGUAGCUGGUCUGAGAGGAUGAUCAGCCACACUGGGACUGAGACACGGCCCAGACUCCUACGGGAGGCAGCAGUGGGGAAUAUUGGACAAUGGGCGCAAGCCUGAUCCAGCCAUGCCGCGUGAGUGAUGAAGGCCCUAGGGUUGUAAAGCUCUUUUGUGCGGGAAGAUAAUGACGGUACCGCAAGAAUAAGCCCCGGCUAACUUCGUGCCAGCAGCCGCGGU